UACGUAGGCAGCGAGCGUUGUUCGGAGUUACUGGGCGUAAAGGGUGUGUAGGCGGUUGGGGAAGUCGGGGGUGAAAUCUCGGAGCUUAACUCCGAAACUGCAUUCGAUACUGCCGUGCUUGAGGACUGGAGAGGAGACUGGAAUUUACGGUGUAGCGGUGAAAUGCGUAGAUAUCGUAAGGAAGACCAGUGGCGAAGGCGGGUCUCUGGACAGUUCCUGACGCUGAGGCACGAAGGUCAGGGGAGCAAACGGG
rnacentral:rRNA from 1 species